UCGGNUNUGCAUNCGAUACUNCCNNNNUAGAGGUAGGUNGGGAGAUCGNAAUUNCUGGNGUAGCGGNGAAAUGCGCAGAUAUCAGGAGGAACACCGGUGGCGAAGGCGGAUCUCUGGGCNNUACCUGACGNUCAGGCGCGAAAGCUAGGGGAGCGAACUGGAUUAGAUACCCAGGUAGUCCUAGCCGUAAACGUUGGGUGCUAGGUGUGGGCGGACAUCGACCCCGUCCGUGCCGAAGCUAACGCAUUAAGCACCCCGCCUGGGGAGUACGGCCGCAAGGCUAAAACUCAAAGGAAUUGACGGGGCCCCGCACAAGCGGCGGAGCAUGUUGCUUAAUUCGAUGCAACGCGAAGAACCUUACCUGGGCUUGACAUGCAGGGUGAAACCCGUGAAAGCGGGCGCUCUUCGGAGCCUGCACAGGUGGUGCAUGGCUGUCGUCAGCUCGUGCCGUGAGGUGUUGCCUUAAGUGGCGCAACGAGCGCAACCCCUGUCCUUAGUUGCCAGCGGAUCAUGCCGGGAACUCUAGGGAGACUGCCGGUGCCAAACCGGAGAAAGGUGGGGAUGACGUCAAGUCAUCAUGCCCCUUACGUCCAGGGCUGCAAACAUGCUACAAUGCUCGGUACAAAGGGCUGCGAUCCCGCAAGGGGGAGCGAAUCCCAAAAAGCCGGGCUCAGUUCGGAUCGGGGUCUGCAACCCGACCCCGUGAAGUUGGAGUCGCUAGUAAUCGCAGAUCAGCACUGCUGCGGUGAAUACGUUCCCGGGGCUUGUACACACCGCCCGUCACACCACGAAAGUGGGCAACACCUGAAGCCGGUGGCCUAACCCUUGUGGAGGGAGCCGUCGAAGGUGGGGCUCGCGAUUGGGGUGAAGUCGUAACAAGGUAGCCGUAA
rnacentral:rRNA from 1 species